AAGGAUCAUUACCGAGUUGGGGUUCCUGUAACGGGCCCACCUCCAAACCUCUGCGUACCACUUGGGCAAUUUACUUGUGUUGCUUCGGUGGGGCUUUUGUUACCUGCCGAAGCGCUGCACACAAAAUCUUGUCGAGAGUUGCUGUCUGAGUUUUGCUUUGAAAAUUUACAGGAACACUUUCAACAACGGAUCUCUUGGUUCCCG
rnacentral:misc_RNA from 1 species